CUUGAGGGUAUUGGGUUGGACAACCGUGGCAUUCACGGGCUAUCCGGGGAUUAGGGUUCGAUUCCGGAGAGGGAGCCUGAGAAACGGCUACCGCUUCUACGGAAGGCAGCAGGCGCGAAAAUUAUCCAAUCCUGAUUCAGGGAGGUAGUGAAAGAAAUAAUGAACUAUGAUUUAUCCUGGGAUCACAAUGGGCUUGAUUUGCAAACUUUAUUAGCGAGGAACAAUUGGAGGGCAAGUCUGGUGCCAGCAGCCGGGGUAAUUCCAGCUCCAAUAGUGUAUAUUAAUGUUCCUGCAGUUAUUCAAUGCUCGUACUUGGAUUUCUGGGGGCUGAUUCUGGAGGGCGGCUAUGGACGCCCCCGGUUUCUACCAUCAUCGACCUGAUAACGGUGUUCGAGAUUCACUUCUCACCCUUGCAACCUAAGAAAUUUUAACCUUACUAGAUACAUUAGUUCAUCAUCUUUUGAGCAUUUAAAGUGUUUCAAGCAGGCGCACUUUAGAGCACUUUAUCAUGGAA
rnacentral:rRNA from 1 species